ACACCGUUUACAUGCAUAAAAACCUUCAUAACACACAAGGGGACGGGUAAUAACCGGAAAAGCAUGAUACCUCUCCUUUAAAGUGUUUCCCAUCAAGUGCUCAUCACUCUGUUGAAAAUCAUUCUGCUUUGAUUGUUCAAAAUUGGAGCUUGAAAACAAAAAACUCUAAUUAUGUUGAUAAUUAAUUUAUGUUCAAAUGUCUGGUAGUUUGUGAGCUUUCUUAUGGCAAGUCUAUUGCAUUUAUUUUUAUAAUGAACCAGGUUCAAAUGUUAUGCCAAACAUUUCAAAUGCCAUUUUAGAAUGUAUGUUUACAAUCUCACAUUUACAUUUGGACUCAAAUCUGAGCUAUCAAGAUAAUGUAGAUAAUAUUUGGUGACAUUUGAACCAAAUAGGAAAGUGCCCGAUGGACUGACUACAAAUUAGUUCCCUAACAUGUGUUUAGUGAAAAUUGACAUUUUUGACACUUUUACUCAAAGCAGAAAAGUUUCUUAGUUAGGUAAACCAUUUGUCUGGUAAACAGAACAUUUUUGGCUCAAAUCCCAGCUGUGCCGGCUUAAAAAAUCUAAGAAACACAAACAUCACUUUGAUAUCAGGUUUAAUUUUUGCAACCAUUUGCUUAACGUAGUCAAUAAGGUACUAGCCCUGGUGGCCUGAACUGUAGUCACAUAUCUUUAUUGUAUGCUAUCUAAACCAAUUUAUUUUAAGCAAAUUUCAGUGUGUCUGUCUUGUUUUGACUUCUUGCAAAAAUAAUAUACAAAUAUAAAGGAAGGCUUAAUGUUUAAGGCAAAUGGAAAGAGAUGCUUGUUUUGUCGGUUGAGGAUAACUGUGCUGUGCAUCAUUUAAGAUGUUUGACUAAUGAUGAUAAAAUAAAUUGAAGAUUUAGUUUGUGUAUGGUGAAGGCCAAAGUUGUUUCAAUGCAUGGCUCUGAUUGGUCCGUUUAGGUAGAAAUCAUCUGAGCUCCGAUACGUCAUGUUGGGGAAUUUGUAACAAAAGGUCCUAUAUAAUCCACAGCCGUCUAACAGCUCUGCCUUUAAAGAAGAAGCAUCCCUUCUCUUUUCAGCAAAUAUCCCCGAGGCUGAGAUCUCUUUGUUGGUGCCGUCAUUUAUGCCUUUUUGCAGACAACAUAGAGAAAAAGAUCCUUCUUCUUCUCCCCCUCGUCUUCGUUCUCUCCACUCCUCCACGUGCAGCGACUUUCAGAGUUGUCCCCAUAUCCGACAAGCUUGACUGGGAUGCUGCCCGGGCACACUGCAGAGAGCACUAUAGCGACUUGUUCAACGUCAGAAAUCAAGCCCAGGCCGACAUGAUUGCUCCGUACAAAGGCUGGAUUGGUAUGAGAUGGAGGUCAGAUCACUGGAGAUUGUCCUGAAAAGAUGAGGAAGCUGUCUUCAACAAGUUCAAAUCUGGUGAACCAGCCUCUGAUGGGUACUGUGCUGAGAGCCAUGAUGAAAACGAAUGGCACAGUCAUUUAUGCUCUGAAACUGACUGCUUCAUGUGUGAAGUGUUUUGGAAAUCUUAGACCUAGUCAAUACUCAGGAGAUAUACAAUUAGACUGAUCAAUUAAUAAAAUGGUGGAAACAGA